rnacentral:rRNA from 1 species
UACGUAGGGUGCAAGCGUUGUCCGGAAUUAUUGGGCGUAAAGAGCUCGUAGGCGGUUCGUCGCGUCGGCUGUGAAAUCCCGAGGCUCAACCUCGGGUCUGCAGUCGAUACGGGCGGACUGGAGUUCGGCAGGGGAGACUGGAAUUCCUGGUGUAGCGGUGAAAUGCGCAGAUAUCAGGAGGAACACCGGUGGCGAAGGCGGG